GACGAACGCUGGCGGUGUGCUUAACACAUGCAAGUGGUGCGACGAACCAGAGCUUGCUCUGGGGCAAAGCCGCGAACGGGUGAGUAACACGUGGGUAAUCUACCCCGAUGACCGGGACAACCCGAGGAAACUCGGGCUAAUACCGGAUGUGGUGCGGAGACAUAAGUCUCUUCACUAAAGGUAGCUUCGGCUUCCGCAUUGGGAGGGGCCCGCGGCCCAUUAGCUUGUUGGUGGGGUCAAGGCCUACCAAGGCAACGAUGGGUAGCUGGUCUGAGAGGACGAUCAGCCACACUGGGACUGAGACACGGCCCAGACUCCUACGGGAGGCAGCAGUGGGGAAUCUUGCGCAAUGCGCGAAAGCGUGACGCAGCAACACCGCGUGAGGGAAGAAGGCCUUAGGGUUGUAAACCUCUUUCAGAUGGGACGAAGGUUCUCCGGUGAAUAGCCGAGAGGAUUGACGGUACCGAAAGAAGAAGCUCCGGCUAACUACGUG
rnacentral:rRNA from 1 species